GCCAGGCAUGGUGGUGCGUGCCUGUAGUCCCAGCUACUCAGGAGGCUGAGGCAGAAGAAUUGCUUGUACCUGGGAGGUGGAGGUUGCAGUGAGCCAAGAUCGCACCACUGCACUCCAGCCUGGGUGACAGAGCAAGACUCUGUCUCAA
rnacentral:SRP_RNA from 1 species